rnacentral:rRNA from 1 species
AAUAACACUUUCAGCAACGGAUGUCUUGGUUCCCACAACGAUGAAGAACGCAGCGAAAUGCGAUACGUCAUGCGAAUUGCAGAAUCCAGUGAGUCAUCAAAAUUUUGAACGCAUCUUGCACUGCUUUGCAGUAUGUCUGUUGGAGUGUCUGU